AGAACGAACGCUGGCGGCAGGCUUAACACAUGCAAGUCGAGCGCCCCUCACGGGGAGCGGCAGACGGGUGAGUAACGCGUGGGAAUCUACCCAACUCUACGGAAUAACUCAGGGAAACUUGUGCUAAUACCGUAUACGCCCUUCGGGGGAAAGAUUUAUCGGAGUUGGAUGAGCCCGCGUUGGAUUAGCUAGUUGGUGGGUAAAGCCUACCAAGGCGACGAUCCAUAGCUGGUCUGAGAGGAUGGAUCAGCCACAUUGGGACUGAGACAC
rnacentral:rRNA from 1 species